AUCCUUUUGCAGUUCAUAAGUGUGAUGGUCGGGGUGUUGCCCUCAUGUGUGAGAUGUGAUGACUGAGCCUUGUUAUGACGUCAGCACAUUACCUGGCUGAUG